rnacentral:lncRNA from 1 species
CUUAUUUUCACCACUCAGGUUCUCACUACUCCCUUCUAGUCCUCCACAGAAUUCUCCUUCCAAGAGAAGGCAGAAGAGGUCUCGCCAUCCUCCCUCCCUCCCGCCAAGGGAAGGCUGCAGGCACCAGACACGGGAUAUUCAACACCCUUUAUCUUCUGCUUUGGCCUUCCCACGCCACACAAAGGCUCUGGCAUCACAGUGACGAUCUUAUCUUCACGCUGGGGUCUGGAGGGCAUUUACCAAGAAAACAAAUAAAUUGGAAAACCAAGAGACCACACAAACAUCAUAAACUUCAAAUCGCGCCAAAAUAAAUCAGAUGAUCAGAGAUUGCAGGACUGUGCAGAUGAUAGAGAGAUGCAGGAAUGAAGUAUUCCAGAGGCACAAUUACUGCAGGAGCGUGAAAUAGCACCUUUUAAAGGUCACAUUUUAGGGCUGUCUAAAAUUGGACCCCUACUGAGUACUUACAAUUCUAUCUGAAAUAAGUUUUCUGACACAGAUGGUUGGGGAGUUUCUACUCUGACUCCACAGCUCCAUGAUAAAAUGAAGGAUCUAGGACCAGCAAUAUUCCAAGAACACCUGUACCCAACUCAUCUGUGAUACCACGACUCUCAGAUAUUGUGACAUCCUGAAGAGGUAUUCUUCACUUAAGAUACAGUUUAAUUUCAAAACCAAAAUUCAGGAGGGAAAAAGCUCUCUUUCCUGGUUAUCACUGUAAGAUUCGAAGCCAUGGCUUUCACUCUAGCCACCCAACAUCAGGAAAUUGGGGACACCACUGGGGACAGCAGAAAAGCCUUAAUACAGCAGACAUUUCAAAACUUCUCCCACAUGACACCACCUGGAUGGUGUUUUCUAUAAAAGCCCACAGAUAGCUGGCAAUUCAAUUCCAUAAACUCUUCGCAUACAGCAUUUUCUCUAGUCUUGCUAACAGUGCCUGGAUUAUAAGCAUCUUUGGGACACAACCUACCUUCCAUCUCACAGUUGGCAUGCCGUCCAGGAGAAGUGCAACAGGAGCUUCUGCUUGAUUAGAUCCCAGGGUAAUGCUAUAAUUCAACUUAUUAAAGAAAUAUGUCUGAAGUCAGUAAGACUUCUUCAUGCACCAUAGUCAGUAGUUCUGUAGUCUUCAGGCAACAUGCCUAAGUCUUCUCCCCCAAAAUACAGUUACAUCAGUCCACAGGAGAGCUCAACCAUGUAGUAAACCAACUUCCCAUUCCAAAGAAAAUCUCUUAAUAUUAAUUACCAGCAUUCCCCAACUCUCCAGCCUAAGCAAACUUGAGAAUUCGUGAGAGGGUUCACACUAUAAACCUUGCACUC